AGUGAACGCUGGCGGUAGGCCUAACACAUGCAAGUCGAACGGCAGCACAGUAAGAGCUUGCUCUUACGGGUGGCGAGUGGCGGACGGGUGAGGAAUACAUCGGAAUCUACUUUUUCGUGGGGGAUAACGUAGGGAAACUUACGCUAAUACCGCAUACGACCUACGGGUGAAAGCAGGGGAUCUUCGGACCUUGCGCGUUUGAAUGAGCCGAUGUCGGAUUAGCUAGUUGGCGGGGUAAAGGCCCACCAAGGCGACGAUCCGUAGCUGGUCUGAGAGGAUGAUCAGCCACACUGGAACUGAGACACGGUCCAGACUCCUACGGGAGGCAGCAGUGGGGAAUAUUGGACAAUGGGCGCAAGCCUGAUCCAGCCAUACCGCGUGGGUGAAGAAGGCCUUCGGGUUUUAAAGCCCUUUUGUUGGGAAAGAAAAGCAGCAGGUUAAUACCCCGCUGUUCUGACGGUACCCAAAGAAUAAGCACCGGCUAACUUCGUG
rnacentral:rRNA from 1 species